rnacentral:ncRNA from 1 species
UAUUCAGGACGACCUGAAUCACGUCAUUCAAUUAUGGGGACGACCCCG